GACGAACGCUGGCGGCGUGCUUAACACAUGCAAGUCGAACGGAAAGGCCCUGCUUUUGUGGGGUGCUCGAGUGGCGAACGGGUGAGUAACACGUGAGUAACCUGCCCUUGACUUUGGGAUAACUUCAGGAAACUGGGGUUAAUACCGGAUAGGAGCUCCUGCUCCAUUGUGGGGGUUGGAUAGUUUCGGCGGUUGGGGAUGGACUCGCGGCUUAUCAGCUUGUUGGUGGGGUAGUGGCUUACCAAGGCUUUGACGGGUAGCCGGCCUGAGAGGGUGACCGGCCACAUUGGGACUGAGAGAGGGCCCAGACUCCUAUGGGAGGCAGCAGUGGGGAGUAUUGCACAAUGGGCGGAAGCCUGAUGCAGAAACGCCGCGUGCGGGAUGACGGCCUUCGGGGUGUAAACCGCUUUCGCCUGUGACGAAGCGUGAGUGACGGUAAUGGGUAAAGAAGCACCGGCUAACUACGUG
rnacentral:rRNA from 1 species